rnacentral:rRNA from 1 species
UAACUAUAACGGUCCUAAGGUAGCGAAAUUCCUUGUCGGGUAAGUUCCGACCCGCACGAAAGGCGUAACGAUUUGGGCACUGUCUCAACGAGAGACUCGGUGAAAUCAUAGUACCUGUGAAGAUGCAGGUUACCCGCGACAGGACGGAAAGACCCCGUGGAGCUUUACUGUAGCCUGAUAUUGAAAUUCGGCACAGCUUGUACAGGAUAGGUAGGAGCCUUUGAAACGUGAGCGCUAGCUUACGUGGAGGCGUUGGUGGGAUACUACCCUAGCUGUGUUGGCUUUCUAACCCGCACCACUUAUCGUGGUGGGAGACAGUGUCAGGCGGGCAGUUUGACUGGGGCGGUCGCCUCCUAAAAGGUAACGGAGGCGCUCAAAGGUUCCCUCAGAAUGGUUGGAAAUCAUUCAUAGAGUGUAAAGGCAUAAGGGAGCUUGACUGCGAGACCUACAAGUCGAGCAGGGUCGAAAGACGGACUUAGUGAUCCGGUGGUUCCGCAUGGAAGGGCCAUCGCUCAACGGAUAAAAGCUACCCCGGGGAUAACAGGCUUAUCUCCCCCAAGAGUUCACAUCGACGGGGAGGUUUGGCACCUCGAUGUCGGCUCAUCGCAUCCUGGGGCUGUAGUCGGUCCCAAGGGUUGGGCUGUUCGCCCAUUAAAGCGGUACGCGAGCUGGGUUCAGAACGUCGUGAGACAGUUCGGUCCCUAUCCGUCGUGGGCGUAGGAAAUUUGAGAGGAGCUGUCCUUAGUACGAGAGGACCGGGAUGGACAUACCUCUGGUGUACCAGUUGUCGUGCCAACGGCAUAGCUGGGUAGCUAUGUAUGGACGGGAUAAGUGCUGAAAGCAUCUAAGCAUGAAGCCCCCCUCAAGAUGAGAUUUCCCAACUUCGGUUAUAAGAUCCCUCGAAGAUGACGAGGUUAAUAGGUUCGAGGUGGAAGCGUGGUGACACGUGGAGCUGACGAAUACUAAUCGAUCGAAGACUUAAUCAAUUUUUUAAA